rnacentral:rRNA from 1 species
AUUGAACGCUGGCGGCAGGCCUAACACAUGCAAGUCGAGCGGAUGAAGGGAGCUUGCUCCUGGAUUCAGCGGCGGACGGGUGAGUAAUGCCUAGGAAUCUGCCUGGCAGUGGGGGAUAACGUCCGGAAAGGGGCGCUAAUACCGCAUACGUCCUGAGGGAGAAAGUGGGGGAUCUUCGGACCUCACGCUAUCAGAUGAGCCUAGGCCGGAUUAGCUAGUUGGUUGGGUAAAGGCCUACCAAGGCGACGAUCCGUAACUGGUCUGAGAGGAUGAUCAGUCACACUGGAACUGAGACACGGUCCAGACUCCUACGGGAGGCAGCAGUAGGGAAUUUUGGGCAAUGGGCGAAAGCCUGAUCCAGCCAUGCCGCGUGUGUGAAGAAGGCCUUCGGAUUGUAAAGCACUUUUAGUUGGGAAGAAGGGCAGUAAGUUAAUACCUUGCUGUUUUGACGUUACCAACAGAAUAAGCACCGGCUAACUUCGUG